UACGAGGGGAGCAAGCGUUGUUCGGAUUUACUGGGCGUAAAGGGCGCGUAGGCGGCCACCGCAAGUCAGUUGUGAAAGCUCUGGGCUUAACCCAGAAAGGUCAGCUGAUACUGCGGGGCUAGAGUGCAGAAGGGGCAACUGGAAUUCUCGGUGUAGCGGUGAAAUGCGUAGAUAUCGAGAGGAACACCUGCGGCGAAGGCGGGUUGCUGGGCUGACACUGACGCUGACAGCGCGAAAGCUAGGGGAGCGAACGGG
rnacentral:rRNA from 1 species